rnacentral:rRNA from 1 species
UACGUAGGGUGCAAGCGUUUAAUCGGAAUUACUGGGCGUAAAGCGUGCGCAGGCGGCUUUGCAAGACAGAUGUGAAAUCCCCGGGCUUAACCUGGGAACUGCAUUUGUGACUGCAUGGCUGGAGUGCGGCAGAGGGGGAUGGAAUUCCGCGUGUAGCAGUGAAAUGCGUAGAUAUGCGGAGGAACACCGAUGGCGAAGGCAGCCCCCUGGGUCGACACUGACGCUCAGGCACGAAAGCGUGGGGAGCAAACAGG